rnacentral:rRNA from 1 species
UACGAAGGGGCUAGCGUUGCUCGGAAUCACUGGGCGUAAAGGGUGCGUAGGCGGGUCUUUAAGUCAGGGGUGAAAUCCUGGAGCUCAACUCCAGAACUGCCUUUGAUACUGAAGAAUCUUGAGUUCGGGAGAGGUGAGUGGAACUGCGAGUGUAGAGGUGAAAUUCGUAGAUAUUCGCAAGAACACCAGUGGCGAAGGCGGCUCACUGGCCCGAUACUGAACGCUGAGGCACGGAAAGC